UGGGGAAUCUUGCACAAUGGAGGAAACUCUGAUGCAGCGACGCCGCGUGAGCGAAGAAGCCUUUCGGGGUGUAAAGCUCUUACGCCAGGGACGAUAAUGACGGUACCUGGAGAAGCAGCUGCGGCUAACUACGUGCCAGCAGCCGCGGUAAUACGUAGGCAGCAAGCGUUGUUCGGAAUUACUGGGCGUAAAGGGUGCGUAGGCGGCGCUCUAAGUUUGGUGUGAAAUCUCCCGGCUUAACUGGGAGGGUGCACUGAAAACUGGGGCGCUCGAGUAUGGGAGAGGAAAGCGGAAUUCCUGGUGUAGCGGUGAAAUGCGUAGAGAUCAAGAGGAACACCUGAGGCGAAGGCGGGUUGCUGGGCCGACACUGACGCUGAUGCGCGAAAGCCAGGGGAGCAAACG
rnacentral:rRNA from 1 species